rnacentral:rRNA from 1 species
AAAUUGAAGAGUUUGAUCAUGGCUCAGAUUGAACGCUGGCGGCAGGCCUAACACAUGCAAGUCGAACGGUAACAGGAAGCAGCUUGCUGCUUCGCUGACGAGUGGCGGACGGGUGAGUAAUGUCUGGGAAACUGCCUGAUGGAGGGGGAUAACUACUGGAAACGGUGGCUAAUACCGCAUAAUGUCGCAAGACCAAAGAGGGGGACCUUCGGGCCUCUUGCCAUCAGAUGUGCCCAGAUGGGAUUAGCUUGUUGGUGAGGUAACGGCUCACCAAGGCGACGAUCCCUAGCUGGUCUGAGAGGAUG